rnacentral:rRNA from 1 species
AUUGAACGCUGGCGGCAGGCCUAACACAUGCAAGUCGAGCGGAAACGAGUUAUCUGAACCUUCGGGGGACGAUAACGGCGUCGAGCGGCGGACGGGUGAGUAAUGCCUAGGAAAUUGCCCUGAUGUGGGGGAUAACCAUUGGAAACGAUGGCUAAUACCGCAUGAUGCCUACGGGCCAAAGAGGGGGACCUUCGGGCCUCUCGCGUCAGGAUAUGCCUAGGUGGGAUUAGCUAGUUGGUGAGGUAAGGGCUCACCAAGGCAACGAUCCCUAGCUGGUCUGAGAGGAUGAUCAGCCACACUGGAACUGAGACACGGUCCAGACUCCUACGGGAGGCAGCAGUGGGGAAUAUUGCACAAUGGGCGCAAGCCUGAUGCAGCCAUGCCGCGUGUAUGAAGAAGGCCUUCGGGUUGUAAAGUACUUUCAGUCGUGAGGAAGGUGGUAGUGUUAAUAGCACUAUCAUUUGACGUUAGCGACAGAAGAAGCACCGGCUAACUCCGUGCCAGCAGCCGCGGUAAUACGGAGGGUGCGAGCGUUAAUCGGAAUUACUGGGCGUAAAGCGCAUGCAGGUGGUUUGUUAAGUCAGAUGUGAAAGCCCGGGGCUCAACCUCGGAAUAGCAUUUGAAACUGGCAGACUAGAGUACUGUAGAGGGGGGUAGAAUUUCAGGUGUAGCGGUGAAAUGCGUAGAGAUCUGAAGGAAUACCGGUGGCGAAGGCGGCCCCCUGGACAGAUACUGACACUCAGAUGCGAAAGCGUGGGGAGCAAACAGG